GAGCUUCCUGGUUCUGCAGUAAAAACCGGACAGACCUGUUGUGCAUGUAAUCUACGUGCAUCCAAUCUGAAGCAGAAACAACUUAAAGAAAAUGAAGGCAGGUGAGUCACCCGAAGACUGAGAGGCGCCUACAGAUCCACGGUUCUCCAGGUGCUGGGGAAAGGGACGGUGACGCGGAGGGAAGUCGUGAUCUGUGUGGCGGAUUGCGCUACGGAGGACGGAGGGGAACGCACCGAUGAGACAACAUGGGUCCACUGCUGUGUGAUGGACGACUGACACACCUCCUCUUUCCACUCCUCCUCCUCCUGCGGGCUCCCCUGCUGUUCAGCUUUGGUGAGCGCACCUGCCCCAAUAGCUGUCGAUGUGAGGGGAAAACGGUCCAUUGUGAUUCAUCUGGCUUCUUAGAUGUCCCAGAAAACAUCUCAAUCGGCUGCCAGGGCCUCUCCCUGCGCUACAAUGAACUGCACACCCUGCUACCCUAUCAGUUUGCUCACCUUAGCCAGCUCCUCUGGAUUUACUUGGACCACAAUCAGAUUUCAGCCGUUGACAGUCGAGCGUUCCAGGGGGUCCGCAGGCUUAAAGAGCUUAUACUGAGCUCCAACAGGAUCACGUCUCUACACAAUUCAACAUUCCAUGGAAUACCCAAUCUUCGCAGUCUGGACUUGUCCUACAACAAAUUGGAAAUCCUGCAGCCAGGUCAGUUCCAUGGCUUACGAAAACUACAAAAUCUACACCUUCGCUCAAACGGUCUCUCCAACAUCCCGAUUCGAGCAUUCCUAGAGUGCAGGAGUUUGGAGUUUCUUGAUUUGGGCUAUAAUCGAAUCAAGGCUCUUACUCGCACCACCUUUCUGGGUCUUCAGAAGCUGAUGGAGUUGCAUCUGGAGCACAACCAGUUCUCACGUAUCAACUUUUUUCUGUUUCCAAGGUUAGCCAACCUGAGAUCGCUGUACCUGCAGUGGAAUCGCAUUAGGGUGGUUAACCAGGGCCUUCCGUGGAAUUGGUACACUCUGCAGAAACUCGAUCUGUCAGGAAAUGAAAUCCAGACCCUGGACCCAGCUGUGUUUCACUGCUUGCCCAACCUUCAAGUCCUCAACCUGGAAUCCAACAAACUGUCCAAUGUGUCUCAGGAGGCAGUGUCAGCAUGGAUCUCACUGACCUCCAUCAGCCUUGCUGGCAACAUGUGGGAUUGCGGAACCGGCAUAUGUCCUCUUGUGGCUUGGUUGAGGAAUUUUCGGGGCACUAAAGACACCACUAUGAUAUGCAGCAGCCCAAAGUAUCUGCAAGGAGAAAAAAUUAUGGAAGCCACAAUGAACCAUGGCAUCUGUGAGGAAACUGAUUAUAUUCUGACUGAAACACCCUCACCAAUGUCAGAGCUCAUUUCUGAAGCAACUGCUGAACCAACCUUUUCCCCGACUGGCACCUCUCCACCAAUGCCUCCAAGCAACACCUUUGGUCCUCUGCCACCAUUUAGACCUCGACCUAUUCCUCAUCCUACUUUUCCAGGGCGCAUGAACAAGGACCCUAGAGACUCAGUAGCUCGCACACGACCCACUCACUUACCACCCCCAGAGAUGGAGCACAUGACUCUGCACAAAGUGGUGGUGGGCAGUGUGGCACUCUUCUUCACCAUGUCCCUAAUCUUGACAGUUGUCUAUGUGUUGUGGCGGCGAUACCCCGGUGCAACCAGGUUGCUGCAGCAGCGAUCCAUGGUGGGACGGAAGCGCCGCAAAAAGAGUCCAGAGCCAGAGCAGAACCUGAGCUCCCAGCUCCAAGAGUAUUACAUGAGCUACAACCCUGCUGCCACACCAGAAGCAUUGGAGGUGCUGGGCAAUGGCACUGGUUCCUGCACUUGCACAAUUUCUGGCUCCAGGGAGUGUGAGGUAUGACCCAUCGCAUCAACCUAAAAAUAAAAACUCAAAAUCAAAAUACAAAGGCUCAACAGAGAGAACGAGUACACGUGUCCGCGCCCCCUCCCCGGUGCCUGGCUGGGAGACGUCCCUACCAUCCGUUAACCUCCAGCGAAAACAAGGAUACAGGAAGGCCACGUGUGACGAGAAUUAGGAUCCUACUUCAAUUAUCCACAUCCAAGAAUACGUUCAAAACGCUCCUUCUCGCUAACGGGGGCCGCGAAGAGGAGAUGACACUGACUUUUUCUUUUUCUUAAGAUUUUAUAACGUCCUUCGUUUGGCCCGUGGUCACCGAUCAUCAGCUUUGUUGCAGGUCACCGUGCAUUCGUCACACAAAAGGAGACUUGUGGGAACACAGUCCUGGUGGUGAACAGCAGAGCUUUGGGAGAACACUCAUGAGCACUAAUGGAUGAGCAACAUGGAAACUGUGUGGAGGUUAUUGUCUCCAUGAGGACAACGCAGCUUUGUUUUGAAAAACACUGCACCGUUUCAAGAGGCUUUAAAAAAGAAAAGUGUAAACUGAGCAGUGAAUGGUUUGAAUUGAAAAUGCACUGAACACGUAGCUCUGGCCUGUGUGCAACAUGAAGCGGUUUGCAUAUUCUGAUUCCAUAUGACGCAUCGUGUUUCCCAUCUUUCGAUAAUUUUUUUUUUUUUUUUGGAAAAGACUAAUCAAAGGCCAGGAUGAUGUAAAUGUGCCUCACCGGAGCGGAAACAUCACGACUCACUGGUUUCUCUCGGUGCACCUGUCGGUGACGAGGAACCUGCUUCGUCCGCUGGAAAUCAAGUCAGCGGCUGGAAGGUUGUUUGAAGCGUGUGGAAAGUUACCGCAGGGAAGCGAGCGAUGGCCCAGCCAACGACAUCUGCUGAGGUUUCUUGUUUCGUUUGGGUUUUUCUGGUUUGCUUUUGUUUCUAAUCACAAUCACACCUCGACGAUGUGGUUUUGAUUCGGAGGACAGGGAGCGGCAAUCAGACGCAAAAAGAGAGGACAAAAAAACAAAAAGCUCCUGUCAAGGGUAAAUUGUAAUUUUCUGCAGUUGUAAUGUUGUUAAUGUUGUACUUUAUGAAUAUGUGUUUCUGCCAUUUUCAACACCAAAUACCAAAGAGCCAAACGUGCGUUUUUUCUGCCUUUGGCUCUUCAAACCAUGGGCGACGACAGAUCUCGGAUCUGUUCUCCCAGAAAAAAAAAAAAAAAGAAUAGAAGCCUCAACUCCUCUCACGUCCAGCAGUGCUCUUGUUACCGAAUGGGCUUUUUUUCAUGUGUGUAACGUGUACGUCUUUGUGAACAAAUCUCGCAACGGCAGUCUUCAUUAGGAAGCUCUUGUCUGAAAGAUAACUUUGACCACUGCUUUACAUUUUUAUGACUUAUUAUGUUUAACACACGCUUCACUUUCCUGACGAUAAUCGGCCGAACCCCCCCACCCCACCCCACCCCUACCCCCCUCUUUGAAGAGAAAGCGGUUUUCAGCCAUUAGACUUUCUUGAUUAUGUUCUGAGACGAGUUUAGUCGUGAACCUUUUGUUUCAACCUGCAAACUUCAUCUUUCUACGUCGGAAAAUGAUAAUUUUCUAUUGUAAAUUUCUGCUCUCCCCCUCCCCCCCUUGAAUUUGUUGAUAUUUAGUAAGCACUUGUAUUCUUUGUUCACUUUCAACAGUAUGUUUUAUAAUGAAAAUAAUGAC